rnacentral:miRNA from 1 species
CCACCAGCAGCAGCAGCA